CAGUCAUACGGGAUCCAGCAAUGGGUCUAGUGGCGAACGGGUGAGUAUCGCGUGGGAAACCUGCCCUUGAGACGGGGAUAACACCUCCAACGGGGUGCUAAUACCGGAUAAGACCACGAAGUCGCAUGGUUUCGCGGUCAAAGGUGGCCUCUACUUGUAAGCUACCACUUAAGGAUGGUCCCGCGUCCCAUUAGCUAGUUGGUAGGGUAAUGGCCUACCAAGGCUACGAUGGGUAGCUGGUCUGAGAGGAUGGUCAGCCACACUGGGACUGAGAUACGGCCCAGACUCCUACGGGAGGCAGCAGUCGAGAGGCUUCGGCAAUGGGGGAAACCCUGACCGAGCGACGCCGCGUGGGCGAUGAAGGCCGUUAGGUUGUAAAGCCCUGUCGAGCGGGAAAAAUUGCAGACGGGUGAACAAUCCGUCUGUUUGGUGGUACCGUUAAAGGAAGCUCCGGCCAACUCCGUGCCAGCAGCCGCGGUAAUACGGGGGGAGCGAACGUUGUUCGGAAUUACUGGGCGUAAAGGGCGUGCAGGCGGUCCUGUAAGAGAGUUGUGAAAUGCCCUGGCUCAACCAGGGAAAUGCACCUCUGACUGCAGGACUUGAGUAUGGGAGAGGAUGGGGGAAUUCCCGGUGUAGCGGUGAAAUGCAUUGAUAUCGGGAGGAACACCAGUGGCGAAGGCGCCCAUCUGGCCUAAUACUGACGCUCAUGCACGAAAGCGUGGG
rnacentral:rRNA from 1 species